UACAGAGGUCUCAAGCGUUGUUCGGAUUCAUUGGGCGUAAAGGGUGCGUAGGUGGCGUGGUAAGUUUGAUGUGAAAGCUCAGGGCUUAACCCUGAAAUGGCAUUGAAUACUACUGUGCUGGAGGUUUGGAGGGGGGACUGGAAUUCUUGGUGUAGCAGUGAAAUGCGUAGAUAUCAAGAGGAACACCAGUGGCGAAGGCGAGUCCCUGGACAACACCUGACACUGAGGCACGAAAGCUAGGGGAGCAAACAGG
rnacentral:rRNA from 1 species